GUCGUAAACUUUAACUUACAUUUUUCUCCUCGCCAGGGAACUACGAGCUAAGCUUAAAACCCAAAGGACUUGACGGUACCCCAUAUCCCCCUAGAGGAGCCUGUCCUAUAAUCGAUAACCCCCGUUUUACCUCACCAUUUUUUGUUAAUCAGCCUGUAUACCUCCGUCGUCAGCUUACCACGUGAGCGUGUGAGCUAAAUGUUUUUUCAACCACACGUCAGGUCAAGGUGCAGCAAAUAAAAUGGAAAGAGAUGGGCUACACUCUCUAUUCUAGAAUAAACAAAAGACUAAAUGAAACCCGGUCAGAAGGCGGAUUUAGCAGUAAAAUGAAACUAGAGCGUUCAUUUAAACAUGGCACUGGGGUGUGUACACACCGCCCGUCACCCUCCUCAAUGCUUCAAAACAGUAUUUUACACUUUUUAGCUACACAGAAGAGGCAAGUCGUAACAUGGUAAGUAUACCGGAAGGUAUGCUUGGAAU
rnacentral:rRNA from 1 species